CUCCUGGAAACGGGUGGUAAUGCCGGAUGUUCCACAUGAGCGCAUGCGAGUGCGGGAAAGGCUUUUUGCGGCAUGGGAUGGGGUCGCGUCCUAUCAGCUUGUUGGUGGGGUAACGGCCUACCAAGGCGUUGACGGGUAGCCGGCCUGAGAGGGCGACCGGCCACAUUGGGACUGAGAUACGGCCCAGACUCCUACGGGAGGCAGCAGUGGGGAAUAUUGCACAAUGGGCGCAAGCCUGAUGCAGCGACGCCGCGUGCGGGAUGGAGGCCUUCGGGUUGUAAACCGCUUUUGUUCAAGGGCAAGGCACGGUUUCGGCCGUGUUGAGUGGAUUGUUCGAAUAAGCACCGGCUAACUACGUGCCAGCAGCCGCGGUAAUACGUAGGGUGCAAGCGUUAUCCGGAUUUAUUGGGCGUAAAGGGCUCGUAGGCGGUUCGUCGCGUCCGGUGUGAAAGUCCAUCGCUUAACGGUGGAUCCGCGCCGGGUACGGGCGGGCUUGAGUGCGGUAGGGGAGACUGGAAUUCCCGGUGUAACGGUGGAAUGUGUAGAUAUCGGGAAGAACACC
rnacentral:rRNA from 1 species